rnacentral:rRNA from 1 species
AGCGUAGACGGACUGGCAAGUCUGAUGUGAAAACCCGGGGCUCAACCCCGGGACUGCAUUGGAAACUGUCAGUCUAGAGUGUCGGAGGGGUAAGUGGAAUUCCUAGUGUAGCGGUGAAAUGCGUAGAUAUAUGGAGGAACACCGGUGGCGAAAGCGGCUCUCUGGCCUGUAACUGACACUGAGGCUCGAAAGCGUGGGGAGCAAACA